rnacentral:rRNA from 1 species
GUCUUUUUGAUAAUAAUUUAAAGUCUAACCUGCCCUAUGAAUAUUAAAUGGCCGCGGUAUUUUGACCGUGCAAAGGUAGCAUAAUCAUUAGUUUUUUAAUUAAAAGCUGGAAUGAAUGGUUGGACGAGAAAAUUACUGUCUCAAUUUAAUUUAAUUAGAAUUUUAUUUUUAAGUUAAAAAGCUUAAAUGAAUUUAAAAGACGAGAAGACCCUAUAGAGUUUAAUAUUAUGAAUAUUUUUUAUUUCUAUAAAUUAUUAAAUUUUUAUAAUAUUUUAUUGGGGUGAUAAAUAAAUUUAUAUAACUUUAUUUUUUUUUUUACAUAAAUAAAUGAUUUAAUGAUCCAUUAUUAAUGAUUAUAAGAUUAAAUUACCUUAGGGAUAACAGCGUAAUUUUUUUAGAGAGUUCAAAUCGAAAAAAAAGAUUGCGACCUCGAUGUUGGAUUAAAGUAAAUUUUUGGUGUAGAAGCUAAAAUAUUAAGUCUGUUCGACUUUUAAAACUUUACAUGAUCUGAGUUUAAACCGGCGUGAGCCAGGUUGGUUUCUAUCUUUAAAUAAAUAAAAUAUUUUAGUACGAAAGGACCAAAUAUUUAUAAUAAUUAUUUUUUAUUUGACUAU